UUAUACAAAUCAUUAGGCACAAAAUUACAGCAGGUUGCUGAUAAAUACGUAAGAUUCUUAAUUCGUGGAAAAUUGGGACGUACAGUGCCUGUGAUUUUAGACAUGGAAUUAGUACAAUGUGUUGAACUAAUUUUGAACCAGCGAAAGGAUGCAAAUGUUCCUGAAAAAAAUCCGUAUGUGUUUGGCAUACCUAGUAGUACCAAACGCCAUUUCAAAUAUUUAAGAGCGUGUAUCCUUAUGCGAUAUUUUUCUAAAAAAUGUGAUGCACAAAUACCACAUUCUUUAAGAGGUACU